UACGUAGGGGGCGAGCGUUGUCCGGAAUUACUGGGCGUAAAGAGAGCGUAGGCGGCACUACAAGUCUCAUGUGAAAUACCCGGGCUUAACUUGGGGGUUGCAUGGGAAAUUGUAGAGCUUGAGUACAGGAGAGGCAAGCGGAAUUCCUAGUGUAGCGGUGAAAUGCAUAGAUAUUAGGAGGAACACCAGUGGCGAAGGCGGAUGACUGGACGGCAACUGACGGUGAGGCGCGAAAGCGUGGGGAGCAAACAGG
rnacentral:rRNA from 1 species